GACGAACGCUGGCGGCGUGCUUAACACAUGCAAGUCGAGCGGUAAGGCCCUUUCGGGGGUACACGAGCGGCGAACGGGUGAGUAACACGUGGGUGACCUGCCCUCAGCUCUGGGAUAAGCCCGGGAAACUGGGUCUAAUACCGGAUAUGACUCCAUGACGCAUGUUGUGGGGUGGAAAGCCUUGUGCGGCUGAGGAUGGGCCCGCGGCCUAUCAGCUUGUUGGUGGGGUGAUGGCCACCAAGGCGACGACGGGUAGCCGGCCUGAGAGGGCGACCGGCCACACUGGGACUGAGAUACGGCCCAGACUCCUACGGGAGGCAGCAGUGGGGAAUAUUGCACAAUGGGCGCAAGCCUGAUGCAGCGACGCCGCGUGAGGGAUGACGGCCU
rnacentral:rRNA from 1 species